GGUGCGUUGGCCGAGCGGUUGAAGGCGCGCGACUUGAAAUCGCGUAGGUCGAAAGGCCUCGGGGGUUCGAAUCCCUCACGCACCG
rnacentral:tRNA from 1 species